UGGUACUACUUCCACUUAAUAUUUGUUGAGAUUAGGUAGUUUAAAGAAAAACCAUAACAAUCACUAUUACUUUUCUGUAUCAAAAUGUUUUUCGUAUUGGUUAUUUGGAACUGUACAAUUCUCUAGAAGCAAGAAGGACACUUGAUCAGAAUUUAGUGUUAUUACAGCUUUUGUAACAAUUAUACGUUCCAGGUCGACAUGGCACACCCGUUCACGAGUUGACGCAUGGACCAGCCAUCAUUCUUUUCGCACAUUUGAGGGAAGGAGACGACCCGACACACGACGCAGCCGCAAGCAAUGCCAUUACAGUGAUCAAGACGACCCGUGUUAUACCUACGCAUGAUAACUACAAAAUUAAUGCUCACAAAGCAAGCCCACAAAUGAUUCUAUGUAUUUCAAUUGAAGUGGAUUUUAGAUAAACCAAAAGAUAUACUUAUAUUAUAUUCAUGUCACAUUCAUAAGAUUAUAAAAUCUUAAUAUGAAGAAUUAUUAUUAGGUGGACAAGGAGCCUCUAUUUUCCAUUCUUCUUUAUCCCCUACAUAUUCUUUACUCGUACGCUUAGUAGGCUUUUUGAAUAAGGCAAUUCUUUAUAAAAAAUAAUUUAGAAAUUUUUAGACGUGUAAUUUUUAUUUGGAAAUUUAUUAAAAAACAAAUGAAUUUUGUAUUUUACCGA